AUACAUAGCCAUUUGUUUUAUAACAAAUAUGGGAUGCAGUGUAUGGAACACCUAUAAUCUAGUAUGAGAAAUUAACGAUUUAAGUCCUUCUUAAAUGAGGCCAUUUACCCAUAGAGGGUGCCAGGCCCGUAUAACGUUAAUGAUUACUAGAAGAUGUUUCCAAAGAGUCGUGUUGCUUGAUAGUGCAGCACUAAGUGGGUGGUAAACUCCAUCUAAAACUAAAUAUAACCAUGAGACCGAUAGUAAACAAGUACCGUGAGGGAAAGUUGAAAAGAACUCUGAAUAGAGAGUUAAAUAGUACGUGAAACUGCUUAGAGGUUAAACCCGAUGAACCUGAAUAUCCAUUAUGGAAAAUUCAUCACUAAUAAUAGAAUAUAUAAAUAAUAUUUUAUGAAUGGUGUGCAAUUUUUCCAUAUAAGGACAUUGUAAUCUGUUAAUGUAAUAAAUAUUUAUCAUAAGAUUCAUUACAUCAAGUUUAUUCAAAUUAUUUAUUUUCGGAUAUUUAACAUAGAAUAAAUGUUUUGGAUUUGAUAAAUCAUUGACAGAUAUAAUUAUAUAAUGUGCUUAAAUUUUUCGGAAUUUUAUCAAUGGUAGAAAAUUUAUUUUUUAUUUAAUUGAUAUGCACUAUUAUGAUUAACAAUGCGAUAGAUUCAGGAUACCUUCGGGACCCGUCUUGAAACACGGACCAAGGAGUCUAACAUAUGUGCAAGUCAUUGGGUAUUUUUAAUAAAACCCAAUGGCAUAAUUAACUUAACUGCUAAUAAUGGGAUUAGUUUAUGUUUUGUAAUAAAAUAUAAAUUCAAUCCCGGGGCGUUCUAUAUAGUUAUGUAUAAUAGUAUUUAUAUUAUUUAUGCCUCUAACUUGAGCGUACCUUGAGCAUAUAUGCUGUGACCCGAAAGAUGGUGAACUAUACUUGAUCAGGUUGAAGUCAGGGGAAACCCUGAUGGAAGACCGAAACAGUUCUGACGUGCAAAUCGAUUGUCAGAAUUGAGUAUAGGGGCGAAGACUAUCGACA
rnacentral:rRNA from 1 species